UCCUUUAUUGCCAUUAUUGACCAUAAAAACAAGCACAUACACAAAGUCCUAUAACUUCCAAUUCAUAGCUACAAUCCCAAACCCUCUUACACCACCAUCACCAAAAACAUGUAGCUAGUAACAUCCAAGUCCUCCAUACCCCAUGAUGCUCUUCUCUUCAUGGAAAGGCGAAACAUCGAAAUUUUGGUAGGCUUGUGCCAAGUUAAAAAGCUAAGACGACCUGACAGAUUAGAAGAUAUCGUCGUGGUGGUAAUGGUAAUGGUGGUGGUAAUAGUAACGAUAGUUGGUAUAAUAGUAUACCAAAUUCCAAAAGAAUAAUAAGUAAAGAAUUUCUCCUUAAUUUAUUAAGGAUGAUUUUCUUCUCCUGAAAAGGGCAACUUCAAAUCCUUUGGCAUUUUUCCAUCAAGUCCCUCUCUACCUCCCUUCACUCUCUUUUGUGAAUUCAGGAUUUCAGAGAGAAAAGCAACAUCCAUCCAUCACUAAUUCACUAUAUUAUGUAAUAUAUAUUGUGUGUUCUCUCUCUCUCUCUCUUUUUUUUAUUUUUUUUAUUUUUUUAUGUAGUUCUUGCUUAAUUUGGACUGUAUGUGAUUUCAAUUGCAGGUUAUGUCUACUAUUAUUAUCACUAUGAUCAACUUUAUAGUAUAGUUUUACUGUAUUGGUAGGUAGCAAAUAAUAAUGUAAUCUAUGAUGAAUAGGCUUCUAUAUGGCCAAAGUGUGGUGUUGCUUUUUUAGGAACAAUUUUUUUUUUUUUAUGAAAUGAUUAAAUAUCUUAUUAUUA